UUUCCGUAGGUGAACCUGCGGAAGGAUCAUUCAUAAUAAAGUGUUUUAUGGCACUUUCUAAAAAUCCAUAUCCGCCUUGUGUGCAAUGUUAGAUCUCGUCAAUCUUGGCGAGAUUUUUAUACAUCAACUCAUUCUUUAACUAAUUUGUCUGAAAAAUAUUAUGAAUACUUAAUUCAAAAUACAACUUUCAACAACGGAUCUCUUGGCUCUC
rnacentral:misc_RNA from 1 species